rnacentral:rRNA from 1 species
AAACGUAGGAGGCGAGCGUUAUCCGGAUUUACUGGGCGUAAAGGGCAAGUAGGCGGUGGCAUAAGUUGGGCGUGACAUCUCCCGGCUCAACUGGGAGGGGUCGCUCAAAACUGGGUCACUUGAGGGCAGGAGAGGGAAGCGGAAUUCCUAGUGUAGCGGUGGAAUGCUCAGAUAUUAGGAAGAACACCAGUGGCGAAGGCGGCUUCCUGGCCUGCACCUGACGCUGAGAGGCGAAAGCUAGGGGAGCGAACGGGCUUAGAUACCCCGGUAGUCCUAGCUGUAAACUUUGGAUACUGGGUAUUGGGGGUGACAAUGCCCUCAGUGCCGAAGCCAACGCGUUAAGUAUCCCGCCUGGGGACUACGGCCGCAAGGUUAAA